CAAGAUUUUUCUCUCUCUUUUUUUUUUUUUUGGCUGAGCACAGGGUACUUUAUUGAUGGUAUAUGACAAGGUGGGGCUCCCUAGGCCCCUCCCCUCUUCAAGGGGUCUACAUGGAAACUGUGAGGAGGGGAGAUUCAGUGUGGUGGGGGACUGAGUGUGGCAGGGACUCCCCAGCAGUGAGGGUCUCUCUCUUCCUCUUGUGCUCUUACUGGGGCUGGUGGUCCAGGGGUCUUACUCCUUGGAGGCCAUGUGGGCCAUGAGGAGACCACCUGGUGCUCAGUGUAGCCCAGGAUGCCCUUG
rnacentral:lncRNA from 1 species